UACGAAGGGGACUAGCGUUGUUCGGAUUUACUGGGCGUAAAGCGCGCGUAGGCGGAUCACUAAGUCAGGGGUGAAAUCCCGAGGCUUAACCUCGGAACUGCCUUUGAUACUGGAGAUCUGGAGAUCGGGAGAGGUUGGUGGAAUUCCGAGUGUAGAGGUGAAAUUCGUAGAUAUUCGGAGGAACACCAGAAGCGAAGGCGGCCAACUGGCCCGAUACUGACGCUGAGGCGCGAAAGCGUGGGGGGAGCAAACAGG
rnacentral:rRNA from 1 species